rnacentral:rRNA from 1 species
UACGUAGGGUGCAAGCGUUAAUCGGAAUUACUGGGCGUAAAGCGUGCGUAGGCGGGUUUUUAAGUCAGGGGUGAAAUCCUGGAGCUCAACUCCAGAACUGCCUUUGAUACUGAAGAUCUUGAGUCCGGGAGAGGUGAGUGGAACUGCGAGUGUAGAGGUGAAAUUCGUAGAUAUUCGCAAGAACACCAGUGGCGAAGGCGGCUCACUGGCCCGGUACUGACGCUGAGGCACGAAAGCGUGGGGAGCAAACAGG